GCACAACGCGAAGAACCUUACCUGGUCUUGACAUAGUAAGAACUUUCCAGAGAUGGAUUGGUGCCUUCGGGAACGUUACAUACAGGUGCUGCAUGGCUGUCGUCAGCUCGUGUCGUGAGAUGUUGGGUUAAGUCCCGCAACGAGCGCAACCCUUUCCUAUUUGCCAGCGGGUUAAGCCGGGAACUUUAAGGAUACUGCCAGUGACAAACUGGAGGAAGGCGGGGAACGGACGUCAAGUCAUCAUGGCCCUUAGACCAGGGCUACACACGUGCUACAAUGGUCGGUACAAAGGGUUGCUACCUAGCGAUAGGAUGCUAAUCUCAAAAAGCCGAUUGUAGUCCGGAUUGGAGUCUGCAACUC
rnacentral:rRNA from 1 species